rnacentral:lncRNA from 1 species
GCGUCUGUGAUGGGCGCAGGGUCUGUGAGGUGCAAAGGCCAUUUAGUGUGUGGCCUUAGUUAAUUUUUUGUUUUCAAUUUUCUGUCUCUCAUGUUAUUGAUCUGUAAAAGGAGCAUAAUCGAAGACAAACUGAUGUGAGGAUGAGGAGGAGUCAGAAAUAAACUCAUUCAACUAAUACUUGAGUAGCUACUGUUGCCUACAGUAUGUUCAAGGUUUUGCUAGUCAUCCAUAUGAUCACUAUUGACAGCUUGGGAGACUCACACAGGCUAGUGAAUUUCAGGAAUUAACAGAAACUGAACAGCUUCUAUAAUCCUGCAGGAAGUAACCUCUGGAUGGCACAAACUAUGUAGAGGAAUGGUCAUUCCUCAACUCCCAUGACUGGGAUUCAAGGAGAGCUGUUCUCAGUCAUCUGCAUGUGUUUGACUUUCCUGAUUGAUGACUGCCUUAUCUCCAUCCCCUGGGAACAGUUCUAAAAUAUGAACUGAAAGUCAGGGGUCAGUGGAUGCUGCGUCUGUGAGACACAACUUCAGAGGUGACUAAACUCUCCCUAGAGCUGCCCUCCUCGAAGAUCUUUGUCCUCGGAAAUUGUCAGGGGAAUCUCAAUUUGGCAGCACCAGAUGUCCCAGAGUCUAGGGAGUCAUCAGGCACUAACUUGGGUUUUUUUAAAGUUUGAAUCACAGUUGAUUCGGAAAAUGAUGGAAAGCUGUCAACUAAAGGAAGGUCUGUCGCUCUUUUUA